CUUUAGCAAGACUGCCAAUGAUAAAUUGGAGGAAGGUGGGGACGACGUCAAAUCAUCAUGCCCCUUAUGACCUGGGCUACAAACGUGAUACAAUGGCUGUUACAAAGGGUAGCUAAAGCGUAAGCUUCUGGCGAGUCUCAAAAAAGCAGUCUCAGUUCGGAUUGAAGUCUGCAACUCGACUUCAUGAAGUUGGAAUCGCUAGUAAUCGCGAAUCAGCAUGUCGCGGUGAAUACGUUCUCGGGGUUUGUACACACCGCCCGUCAAACCACGAAAGUUGGCAAUACCCAAAGCCGGUGGCCUAACUUGAGCAAUCAAGAAGGAGCCGUCUAAGGUAGGGUUGAUGAUUGGGGUUAAGUCGUAACAAGGUAUCCCUACCGGAAGGUGGGGAUGGAUCACCUCCUUU
rnacentral:rRNA from 1 species